rnacentral:tRNA from 1 species
UCCCUGGCAGUCCAGUGGUUAAGACUCUGCACUUCCAAUGCAGGGGGUGCAGGUUCAAUUUCUGGUCAAGGAA